rnacentral:miRNA from 10 species
GUGAGCGGAAGGCCAGGGCACGGCAGGUGGAGCUGCAGGGCGGUCAGAGGGGUCCCAGCGUCUGAGCCCUGUCCUCUGGCAGG